UCCCUGUUUCCAGAUCGUCUUCUAUGGUCUUUCCCUUCACCUCUCUGAAACGUCUCAUUGAUUGAUUCUUGAUAAUUAAGUCUCUCCUUUAUGUCCUUCAAUCAUCCCACUUCAUCAACUUUAAUUCUUCUUUCCCAUCGUCCUUUCUGAUCCUGAAAAUUUGAUGCCAUAAAUAGGGAUGAGACUUUUCCAAAUCCCAUAGCUUUCUUGGAUAUCUGAAUAAAGUUGUGCUCUUUGAAAUUCUUUACAACUAUUUCUUUUUCAUGCAUGUACAAACCAAACCGUAGGCACUGGCGCAGAUCCAAGUAGGGCAUUGUUGGAUUUGGCACUGAUCUAUAGCAUUGGGUUCUUGGCUGCGUUAGAUUUAUGUUUUUGAUUUCAACCGUUGAAUUUGUGCCCCAUAGAUUGUUAAUGAAACAAAAUUGAGGAGUAUGUAAUAGAAAAGUGUACAAGAACAUGACCAGUGAGAAACUGUGUCUUCACAACAUCUCUCUUAGCUUAGGCUUUUCAAGUCAAUUCCUUCAAGUAUCUUGAUCGUUCUGUUACAACUGAAGAAAGCUGGAGCGACGGACAACUCUGCAUCCACAAUAAGAGCUUUUGUAUGCACUUGGAAAACAAAAAGCUGAGAAAUCUGCGUGAAGUUGAUAUUUAAAAGGACUAAAGCUUGCAACUAUGACCUACUCUUAUCACUGGUCAUGAUGUCUUUCAUCUUCCCUCCACUUCAACCUUGGCUUAUCACAUAAGUAAACCAAUUUUUUUCCAUGUAAAAACCUUAAUCUUCGAAUAGAGAGAAUGACUUACUGAUCAGUAUACCUUUCAUUCAUUAUUUGUCUUUGUACGAGUUUGUUGUUCAUGUUCUAGAAGCCAAACAUUUGUUUUGAUCUCA